AACGUAGGUUCCGAGCGUUAUCCGGAUUUACUGGGCGUAAAGCGCGUUCAGGCGGUUUGGCAAGUCGGGCAUGAAAUCCCUCGGCUCAACCGGGGGAGGUUGUCCGAUACUGCUAAACUGGAGGGCAGUAGAGGGUGGUGGAAUUCCGGGUGUAGUGGUGAAAUGCGUAGAGAUCCGGAGGAACACCAGUGGCGAAGGCGGCCACCUGGACUGUACCUGACGCUGAAACGCGAAAGCUAGGGGAGCGAACGGG
rnacentral:rRNA from 1 species